GACGAACGCUGGCGGCGUGCUUCAUACAUGCAAGUCGAACGUGAAGCUGACUUCGGUCAGUGGAAAGUGGCGGACGGGUGAGUAACACGUAGGAAAUCUGCCCUUAGGAAGGGGACAACAGUUGGAAACGACUGCUAAUACCCUAUAUGAGCUAAGCUGAAAUGCCUAUCUUGAAAACUCCGGUGCCUAAAGGAUGAGCCUGCGCCUGAUUAGCUUGUUGGUGGUGUAAUGGACUACCAAGGCGACGAUCAGUAGCUGGUUUGAGAGGAUGAUCAGCCACAAUGGGACUGAGACACGGCCCAU
rnacentral:rRNA from 1 species